AUCUUCCCAACCCAGGAAUAGAACUGGGGUCUCCUGCAUUGCAGGAGGAUUCUUUACCAACUGAACUAUGAGGGAAGCCCUGAUAAGUAGGUAUAACAGGUUCUGUAUUCAGAAACUCAGUCUAUGUCAGUAUACACAAGGUUGGCAAAUUGAUUAAAAAGACUGAUUCAUGAUUUGUUACUAGUGUUUGUCAACAAGUCAACAGUGGUUAGUCACUAAUAUUUCUUAUAUGACCAUUAAAUACAAGGUCUCAUGUUAGAUGUUGUCAAAAAACUCAAAAGAAAGAAUCCCUUGAGAACCUUUUCAGGAAAUGUGAAUUGCUGUAUGAUCAACUGGUAAAACUAUUGAGGCCCCUUUGGGAAUAAAGGAAUGAUUAGGUUAGUUUAACUUAGAAUAUAAGAUACUCCUUUAUUUCUUGUCCUAUGGAAAUAGAAUUAUUGGUAUACGCAUGGAGAUAUGAAAAAGGCCACUUGUUAAUUUGUCAUUAGUUAAUUGUAAUGUUGCUAUCUUUGGCUAUCACGUACCCAGAAGAUACUCAAAUGAUAAAAAGAUUGCUGAUGAUAUGAAACAUCUGUUUAGAGGUUUUGUAGUUACUGUUGACAGUUUUGUGAAGUAGGUCCAUGUUCUAUCUUCUCUGCCUUAUAGACUAUGAAGAAAAGCAGCGUCUCUGGGCAGGCUGGCUAUAGAAACUUCAUGAUAAACUGAUUUGAAAUGAAGGUUUAAUUCCUGGGUUUUAAUAAACCAUCUCUGUCACCUUUUUGUGAAGAGUUCAAACGUGUGCUCUUCCUAUAUGGAUCGCUUGAGCUCAGGAGUUCUGGGCUGCAGUGCGUUAUGCCGAUCGGGUGUCCGCACUAAGUUCGGCAUCAAUAUGGUGACCUCCCGGGAGCGGGGGACCACCAGGUUGCCUAAGGAGGGGUGAACCGGCCCAGGUCGGAAACGGAGCAGGUCAAAA